rnacentral:tRNA from 1 species
GUUUUAAUAAUUUAAAAAAAAUAUUAGUCUUGUAUACUAAAAUUAGGAUAAACCUUUAAAACU